rnacentral:ncRNA from 1 species
GGAAGGGCUUAUAAUCCUUCCUGUGGGUGACUGAAAUAACCUGUUGUGAGCGGGUUAAGGUAUACGAUUCUCUGUGGUGGAGUACCGAUGGGCAAAUGUCUGAGGUAGGAUUUCCCAAUCCAAUUGUAGUACGAGUAGGCACAUAAUGAACUAAUGUUCACACCGAAAGUUGGGAGUAUGUAGUAGUCUCCCCCCACACCUA